GGGUUGUGAGGUUAAGCGACUAAGCGUACACGGUGGAUGCCCUGGCAGUCAGAGGCGAUGAAGGGCGUGCUAAUCUGCGAUAAGCGCCGGUAAGGUGAUAUGAACCGUUAUAACCGGCGAUACCCGAAUGGGGAAACCCAGUGUGAUUCGUCACACUAUCAUUAACUGAAUCCAUAGGUUAAUGAGGCGAACCGGGGAACUGAAACAUCUAAGUACCCCGAGGAAAAGAAAUCAACCGAGAUUCCCCAGUAGCGGCGAGCGAACGGGGAGGAGCCCAGAGCCUGAAUCAGCAUGUGUGUUAGUGGAAGCGUCUGGAAAGGCGCGCGAUACAGGGUGACAGCCCCGUACACAAAAGCGCAUGUGCUGUGAGCUCGAUGAGUAGGGCGGGACACGUGGUAUCCUGUCUGAAUAUGGGGGACCAUCCUCCAAGGCUAAAUACUCCUGACUGACCGAUAGUGAACCAGUACCGUGAGGGAAAGGCGAAAAGAACCCCGGCGAGGGAGUGAAAAAGAACCUGAAACCGUGUACGUACAAGCAGUGGGAGCACCCUUCGGGGUGUGACUGCGUACCUUUUGUAUAAUGGGUCAGCGACUUAUAUUCUGUAGCAAGGUUAACCGUAUAGGGGAGCCGCAGGGAAACCGAGUCUUAACCGGGCGUUAAGUUGCAGGGUAUAGACCCGAAACCCGGUGAUCUAGCCAUGGGCAGGUUGAAGGUUGGGUAACACUAACUGGAGGACCGAACCGACUAAUGUUGAAAAAUUAGCGGAUGACCUGUGGCUGGGGUGAAAGGCCAAUCAAACCGGGAGAUAGCUGGUUCUCCCCGAAAGCUAUUUAGGUAGCGCCUCGUGAAUUCAUCUCCGGGGGUAGAGCACUGUUUCGGCUAGGGGGCCAUCCCGGCUUACCAACCCGAUGCAAACUGCGAAUACCGGAGAAUGUUAUCACGGGAGACACACGGCGGGUGCUAACGUCCGUCGUGAAGAGGGAAACAACCCAGACCGCCAGCUAAGGUCCCAAAGUCAUGGUUAAGUGGGAAACGAUGUGGGAAGGCCCAGACAGCCGGAUGUUGGCUUAGAAGCAGCCAUCAUUUAAAGAAAGCGUAAUAGCUCACUGGUCGAGUCGGCCUGCGCGGAAGAUGUAACGGGGCUAAACCAUGCACCGAAGCUGCGGCAGCGACACUGUGUGUUGUUGGGUAGGGGAGCGUUCUGUAAGCCUGCGAAGGUGGCCUGUGAGGGUUGCUGGAGGUAUCAGAAGUGCGAAUGCUGACAUAAGUAACGAUAAAGCGGGUGAAAAGCCCGCUCGCCGGAAGACCAAGGGUUCCUGUCCAACGUUAAUCGGGGCAGGGUGAGUCGACCCCUAAGGCGAGGCCGAAAGGCGUAGUCGAUGGGAAACGGGUUAAUAUUCCCGUACUUGGUGUUACUGCGAAGGGGGACGGAGAAGGCUAUGUUGGCCGGGCGACGGUUGUCCCGGUUUAAGCGUGUAGGUGUGUGUUCCAGGUAAAUCCGGUUCACUUUAACACUGAGGCGUGACGACGAGGCACUACGGUGCUGAAGCAACAAAUGCCCUGCUUCCGGAAAGCCUCUAAGCAUCAGGUAACAUCAAAUCGUACCCCAAACCGACACAGGUGGUCAGGUAGAGAAUACCAAGGCGCUUGAGAGAACUCGGGUGAAGGAACUAGGCAAAAUGGUGCCGUAACUUCGGGAGAAGGCACGCUGACACGUAGGUGAAGUGAUUUACUCAUGGAGCUGAAGUCAGUCGAAGAUACCAGCUGGCUGCAACUGUUUAUUAAAAACACAGCACUGUGCAAACACGAAAGUGGACGUAUACGGUGUGACGCCUGCCCGGUGCCGGAAGGUUAAUUGAUGGGGUCAGCGCAAGCGAAGCUCCUGAUCGAAGCCCCGGUAAACGGCGGCCGUAACUAUAACGGUCCUAAGGUAGCGAAAUUCCUUGUCGGGUAAGUUCCGACCUGCACGAAUGGCGUAAUGAUGGCCAGGCUGUCUCCACCCGAGACUCAGUGAAAUUGAACUCGCUGUGAAGAUGCAGUGUACCCGCGGCAAGACGGAAAGACCCCGUGAACCUUUACUAUAGCUUGACACUGAACAUUGAGCCUUGAUGUGUAGGAUAGGUGGGAGGCUUUGAAGUGUGGACGCCAGUCUGCAUGGAGCCGACCUUGAAAUACCACCCUUUAAUGUUUGAUGUUCUAACGUGGACCCGUAAUCCGGGUUGCGGACAGUGUCUGGUGGGUAGUUUGACUGGGGCGGUCUCCUCCUAAAGAGUAACGGAGGAGCACGAAGGUUGGCUAAUCCUGGUCGGACAUCAGGAGGUUAGUGCAAUGGCAUAAGCCAGCUUGACUGCGAGCGUGACGGCGCGAGCAGGUGCGAAAGCAGGUCAUAGUGAUCCGGUGGUUCUGAAUGGAAGGGCCAUCGCUCAACGGAUAAAAGGUACUCCGGGGAUAACAGGCUGAUACCGCCCAAGAGUUCAUAUCGACGGCGGUGUUUGGCACCUCGAUGUCGGCUCAUCACAUCCUGGGCUGAAGUAGGUCCCAAGGGUAUGGCUGUUCGCCAUUUAAAGUGGUACGCGAGCUGGGUUUAGAACGUCGUGAGACAGUUCGGUCCCUAUCUGCCGUGGGCGCUGGAGAACUGAGGGGGCUGCUCCUAGUACGAGAGGACCGGAGUGGACGCAUCACUGGUGUUCGGGUUGUCAUGCCAAUGGCACUGCCCGGUAGCUAAAUGCGGAAGAGAUAAGUGCUGAAAGCAUCUAAGCACGAAACUUGCCCCGAGAUGAGUUCUCCCUGAGACUUAGAGUCUCCUGAAGGAACGUUGAAGACGACGACGUUGAUAGGCCGGGUGUGUAAGCGCAGCGAUGCGUUGAGCUAACCGGUACUAAUGAACCGUGAGGCUUAACCUUACAACGCCGAAG
rnacentral:rRNA from 1 species